AGAGUUUGAUCCUGGCUCAGAGCGAACGUUAGCGGCGCGCCUAACACAUGCAAGUCGCACGAAAGGGAGCAAUCCUGAAAGUGGCGCACGGGUGCGUAACACGUAGAUAAUCUGCCCUUCGGCGGGGGAUAACGUUCCGAAAGGAGCGCUAAUACCGCAUACAGCAGUCGGUGGUUCGCCAUCGAUUGGCAAAGGCUGGGAUUCGCAAGGACCAGUCGCCGGAGGAGGAGUCUGCGGCCCAUCAGCUAGUUGGUAAGGUAAUGGCUUACCAAGGCAAAGACGGGUAGCUGGUCUGAGAGGAUGAUCAGCCACACUGGUACUGGAACACGGACCAGACUCCUACGGGAGGCAGCAGUGGGGAAUCUUGGUCAAUGGGCGCAAGCCUGAACCAGCGACGCCGCGUGAGUGAUGAAGGCCUUCGGGUUGUAAAGCUCUGUGGGGAGAGACGAAAGAAUCGGUUCUAACAGGACCGAAGUUGACGGUAUCUCCUUAGCAAGCACCGGCUAACUCUGUGCCAGCAGCCGCGGUAAGACAGAGGGUGCAAACGUUGCUCGGAAUCACUGGGCGUAAAGGGCGUGUAGGCGGGAAUGUAAGUCGGGCGUGAAAUCCCUAGGCUCAACCUAGGAACUGCACUCGAAACUGCGUUUCUUGAGUGCCGGAGAGGAAAGCGGAAUUCCUGGUGUAGAGGUGAAAUUCGUAGAUAUCAGGAGGAACACCAGUGGCGAAGGCGGCUUUCUGGACGGUAACUGACGCUGAGACGCGAAAGCGUGGGGAGCAAACAGGAUUAGAUACCCUGCUAGUCCACGCCGUAAACGAUGAGCGCUAGGUGUCGUGGGUAUUGACCCCCGCGGUGCCGAAGCUAACGCAUUAAGCGCUCUCCUGGGAAGUACGGUC
rnacentral:rRNA from 1 species